rnacentral:lncRNA from 1 species
GGAGGUGGGAGACUUCUCAGCAGGAAUAUCUUUUCUAUUUUCAGAGUGACUUAGACCAUUGGCAGUGGACCUUGGAGGGAAGGCCCUGAUUCUGAACACUUGGGAAGAAUCCUGCAGAGAUUCAAGGU